rnacentral:rRNA from 1 species
UAGAGGAAGUAAAAGUCGUAACAAGGUUUCCGUAGGUGAACCUGCGGAAGGAUCAUUACCGAAUUGUCAAACAYGGGUUGUUGCUGGCCCUCGAAUGGGGGCAUGUGCACGCUCUGUUUACACAUCCACUCACACCUGUGCACCCUCUGUAGCUCUAUGGUUCGGGAGACCCUGUCUUCCUUCUGUAGCUCUACGUCUUUACACACGCACUGUAGCCAUGUCUUAUGGAAUGUUUUUCUGCGUUUAACGCAAUACAAUACAACUUUCAGCAACGGAUCUCUUGGCUCUCGCAUCGAUGAAGAACGCAGCGAAAUGCGAUAAGUAAUGUGAAUUGCAGAAUUCAGUGAAUCAUCGAAUCUUUGAACGCACCUUGCGCCCCUUGGACAUUCCUCGGAGCAUGCCUGUUUGAGUAUCAUGAACACCUCAACUCUCGUGGUUUUCCAUGAUGAGCUUGGACUUUGGAGGUUUGCUGGCUCUGCAGCCGGCUCCUCUCAAACAAAUCAGCUUGCCGGUGUUUGGCGGCCUCAAGGGUGUGAUAACUAUCUACGCUCGUUGUUGUCUGUCAGGUAACCCUCAGCGAUGAAGGUUCAUCGGAGCUUACAAACGUCUCUCCUCAGUGAGGACAGCUUUUGAACGUUCGAUCUCAGAUCAGGUAGGACUACCCGCUGAACUUAAGCAU